UACGUAGGGACCGAGCGUUGUCCGGAUUCAUUGGGCGUAAAGAGCUCGUAGGCGGCUGCUCAAGUCGAAUGUGAAAACUCGAGGCUCAACCUCGAGCCUGCAUUCGAUACUGGGCGGCUAGAGUCUGGUAGGGGGAUCUGGAAUUCCUGGUGUAGCGGUGGAAUGCGCAGAUAUCAGGAGGAACACCGGUGGCGAAGGCGGGUCUCUGGGCCGUAACUGACGCUGAGGAGCGAAAGCGUGGGGAGCAAACAGG
rnacentral:rRNA from 1 species